GAUGAACGCUGGCGGUGUGCCUAAUACAUGCAAGUCGAACGAGGAGCCUUUGUAUUCGUACGGAGGAAUUCCUGGUGGCGAACGGGUGAGUAACACGUUGGUGACCUGCCCCGAAGACUGGGACAACAGUUCGAAAGGACUGCUAAUACCGGAUAUGGUCCUGAGGGUUAGAUACCUCUUGAUCAAAGGGAUUUAUUCGCUUCGGGAGGGGCCUGCGGCCCAUCAGCUAGUUGGUAGGGUAAUGGCCUACCAAGGCGACGACGGGUAGGGGACCUGAGAGGGUGAUCCCCCACACUGGGACUGAGACACGGCCCAGACACCUACGGGUGGCAGCAGUAGGGAAUCUUGCACAAUAGACGAAAGUCUGAUGCANCAACACCGCGUGGAGGAAGAAGGCCUUCGGGUUGUAAACUCCUUUUCGGGGGGAUGAGGAAGGACAGUACCCCCGGAAUAAGUCUCGGCUAACUACGUGCCAGCAGCCGCGGUAAAACGUAGGAGGGAAGCGUUAUCCGGAUUUACUGGGCG
rnacentral:rRNA from 1 species